ACGGGAGGCAGCAGUGGGGAAUUUUGGACAAUGGGGGCAACCCUGAUCCAGCAAUGCCGCGUGAGUGAAGAAGGCCCUCGGGUUGUAAAGCUCUUUUGUCAGGGAAGAAAAGGUACGGGCUAAUACCCUGUACUGCUGACGGUACCUGAAGAAUAAGCACCGGCUAACUACGUGCCAGCAGCCGCGGUAAUACGUAGGGUGCAAGCGUUAAUCGGAAUUACUGGGCGUAAAGCGUGCGCAGGCGGUUGUGUAAGACAGAUGUGAAAUGCCCGGGCUCAACCUGGGAACUGCAUUUGUGACUGCACGGCUGGAGUGCGCCAGAGGGGGGUGGAAUUCCACGUGUAGCAGUGAAAUGCGUAGAUAUGUGGAGGAACACCGAUGGCGAAGGCAGCCCCCUGGGGUGACACUGACGCUCAUGCACGAAAGCGUGGGGAGCAAACAGGAUUAGAUACCCUGGUA
rnacentral:rRNA from 1 species